GCGUAAUGAUUGGUGCCAGUUGUGUGUAAUGAUGGAUGCCAGGACCUAUCUUUGGAGGCCAAACUGUGUACCAGAGAGAGGGAGGUGGAGCAGCUGAAGAGAGAUAAUGCAGUCUCAUCACUGCAACACCCCAACGUGCUCGGGAGAGGCAUGACCUGCCAAACCGCGCUACUUAACGCACGCCCACUUAACCCGGAAGCCAGCUGCACCAAUGUCUCAGAGAAAACCCAGUUCAACUGAUGACCAAAGUCAACCUGCUGGCUCCUGGCCCACCACAAGGAGUCAGACAGACCAAAAGUUUCCUUCUCUGCUGCUUUGACUCAUUCAGGAGGGGUAGGACCCUUCAAUACUGACACCACACUGAUCUACAGUAAAGUCUUCACCAACACUGGCAGGGCCUAGAACCCAACUACAGGUACUGACCACACUAAUCCAACACAGACUGAAUCAGGCUACAGUCCAGUAUUACUAAUGGUGUCUGAGAGAUGGACAGUGAUGAUCACUCCCUGCUUCUCCUCUGAUGCAGGCAUCUUCACAGCACCAGUGAGAGGAGAUCAUUGCCUUUGAAAACCGCACUGGGAAAGCCAUGGCUGUUUACCUUUACCACAAUGACGAGACGGAUGUUUAAUAAUGACACCAAUGAUCAGUAUUAUGAGUACAUAUCUAAUGCUUUGUCUCUAGAGCUGGAUGAGAGGGAUGGGGUCUACAUGCGUCUCCCUGCAGGCCGUGGACUCUAGGAUAAUAAUAAUAAUAACUUCACUACCUUCAGUGGCUUUCUUCUCUG
rnacentral:lncRNA from 1 species